CAAUGUUAAUGACUACAAAAGGAAGGUUGGUAUUGAUUUUGGGAGUUUAGGUCCCAACAGUUUAGGAAUUAGGGGCCAAAAAGGGACCCAAAUAAGCAUUUUUCUUGGUUUUCGCACCAUAACGUUAGUAUAAGUAAAUAGAAAUCUAUGAAAUUUUAACACAAGGUUUAUGACCAUAAAAGAAAGGUUGGGUUUGAUUUUGGGAGUUUUGGUCCCAACAUAAUAAGGGGCCCAAAGGGUCCAAAAUUAAACUUUUGUUUGAUUUCAUCAAAAUUGAAUAAUUGGGGUUCUUUGAUAUGCUGAAUCUAACUGUCAUGACUGUGUAUGUAGAUUCUUAACUUUUGGUCCCUUUUUCAAAUUGGUCUACAUUAAGGUCCAAAGGGUCCAAAAUUAAACUUAGUUUGAUUUUGACAAAAAAAUGAAUCAGUUAGGUUCUUUGAUAUGCUGAAUCUAAAAAUGUACUUAGAUUCUUGAUUAUUGGCCCAGUUUUCAAGUUGGUCCAAAUCGGGGUCCAAAAUUAAACUUUGUUUGAUUUCAUCAAAAAUUGAAUAAAUGGGGUUCUUUGAUAUUCCAAAUCUAACUGUGUAUGUAGAUUCUUCAUUUUUGGUCCUGUUUUCAAAUUGGUCUACACUAAAGUCCAAAGGGUCCAAAAU
rnacentral:lncRNA from 1 species